rnacentral:piRNA from 1 species
UAGGGAAGAAUGUGAACAAUGCGGUGCUC